rnacentral:tRNA from 1 species
AAAGUUUUAUUAUAAUUAGUAUAUUUCAUUGUCAUUGAAAAGGUAUAAACUUUA